AUUUCUCGGAGUGUAAAAGGGCCUGUUAGUACAGUGACUAACACCAAUCAGGGAGAUGAUAGAUGGAGUUGGUCCUUGCUAGUGUUUGUCCUGUGGUGUUCUCCACAGGACAGAGAAACCUUGGAUACCCCUCUAAAAGGAGCAGAGUUGACAAGCUGGCUGUCCUCAGAAUUUUCAUUGCUCAUCUAAGCAAGAUUCUUCUGUGUUUCAGCAUAGAGCUGAAUUAAUUCUGUUACCUAUUACAACCCCAGGCCUAACUGACCCACUGUAGGAGAAAGAAUCUCUUCUGUAGAAAUGUAAAGAGGGAUUUAGAACAGUAAAGAUGGAGAUAGAGUUUGGACAAGAACCAACACAAUCUCCUGUUUGCUGUUUCCUUUUCCACCAGUUACAUCAAUUUUUAUCUCUUCUUAGUUUGACAUAUAAGGCCUUUUAUAAUAGUGAUUCCCAAAUUAACUCCUUUCAUACUUCCUAUCUCUAUAUCUUGGGCUUCAUUCAGCACACUGAAUUUGUGUGUCUUCCUAAUGCAUCCCAUACUUUGUCAUGCCUCUGGGUAUUUCAACACCUCCAUGCAUCUGGUGAGUUCAUACUCAUAUUUCCAAAUCCAGCUCAAAAUUCACUUACUAUGCAGUUUUUCUUGACUGUCUUCUCUUUGCCUCUCUAGCACCUUUUGAUUU
rnacentral:lncRNA from 1 species